rnacentral:rRNA from 2 species
UGGGGGUGCGCAACAUUAGUUAGUUGGUAGGGUAAAAGCCUACCAAGACGAUGAUGUUUAGCGGGGCCAAGAGGUUGUACCGCCACACUGGGAUUGAGAUACGGCCCAGACUCCUACGGGAGGCAGCAGUAAGGAAUAUUCCACAAUAAGCGAAAGCUUGAUGGAGCGACACAGCGUGCAGGAUGAAGUCUUUCGGGAUGUAAACUGCUGUUGUAAGGGAAGAAAAAACUAGAUAGGAAAUGCUCUAGUCUUGACGGUACCUUAUUAGAAAGCGACGGCAAACUAUGUGCCAGCAGCCGCGGUAAUACAUAGGUCGCAAGCGUUAUCCGGAAUUAUUGGGCGUAAAGCGUCCGUAGGUUUUUUGUUAAGUUUAAAGUUAAAUGCUAAAGCUCAACUUUAGUCCGCUUUAGAUACUGGCAAAAUAGAAUUAUGAAGAGGUUAGCGGAAUUCCUAGUGGAGUGGUGGAAUACGUAGAUAUUAGGAAGAACACCAAUAGGCGAAGGCAGCUAACUGGUCAUAUAUUGACACUAAGGGACGAAAGCGUGGGGAGCAAACAGGAUUAGAUACCCUGGUAGUCCACGCCGUAAACGAUGAUCAUUAGUUGGUGGCAAAAGUCACUAACACAGCUAACGCGUUAAAUGAUCCGCCUGAGUA